CAAAUAAAAACAUCUUAAUUUUUAGCCUCCAACAUUAAUAUGGGAGCUAAAGUAAUGGCUUUUCUUGAAAUUUUUCUUCUCAUAGUUCUCACAAUGUCACCACAAGCUAUUGUAGCUAGGGAACUUCCCAACGUCUAUAGCGAGACGAUGGAGAAGCCACAAAUCAACCAUCCAGGCUCUUCCUAUAUUGAAGACCCUAUUUGGCCCCGGCCCUCGUGCCGUGGUCACCGUUGCCGCAGCCCUCCGCACGGGCCCACUCCUUGAGCAUUCGAACAAGGGAAUUAAUUUAGCUAUGUUUGAGUCAUAGUCUAUUAAAUAAUUAUUCAAAUAUUUUAUCCACACUUUGGUGUUGAUGAUCGCGCGUAUCAAUAUAUUAUGUCAUUGAACUUUACUUUGUAA